rnacentral:rRNA from 1 species
CACGUAGGGUGCGAGCGUUGUCCGGAAUUAUUGGGCGUAAAGAGCUCGUAGGCGGCGUGUCGCGUCGGCCGUGAAAACCUGCAGCUUAACUGUGGGCUUGCGGUCGAUACGGGCAUCACUGGAGUUCGGCAGGGGAGACUGGAAUUCCUGGUGUAGCGGUGAAAUGCGCAGAUAUCAGGAGGAACACCGGUAGCGAAGGCGGGUCUCUGGGCCGAUACUGACGCUGAGGAGCGAAAGCGUGGGGAGCGAACAGG